CCCCACCCCCACCCCAGCGCUGCCGCUGCUUCGGGGCGACUGGAUCGCCGCGCCGGGCCGGAGCGAGCCAUCUGCGGGCACUAUGCAAAGCGGGAGGCGCGAGCGGCGCCCGGCUCACACUCGCUCUUCCAGGACGCAGGUCCUCUCUCUCUCUCUCUCUCUCUCUCUCUCUCUUUUUUUCCUUUUUUCAUUUCCCAGAUACAGCUGAUCGAGUUCGCCGAGUGGCCGAGCGAGUGAGCGCUCCUCGGACUUGGGUGGAGGAAGGCACGGAAAAGUAUACGGGAGCAAAAGUGGGGGUUUCAGAAGUGGGGGCGGUGUAGGCGGAGGGAGUGAGGGAUCUGCAGAUCAUUCCACUUUUAAAACGAUCCUGGGUAGUAUCAGGAAUACAUGUCACCUUUGCUUCCUUUUAAAGGGGAGGUGGACAGUAAAAUACAGGUAGGUUUGGUAUUGAAAUAAUAGGUGCCAGAGGUUUCACACUGGGUCCGCCGCAUCUGAUAUCAGAAGAUCAACAUUGGCUGAGUCCCAGUUAAUCUCCAGUCGAAAUUAUUAGGAAGAAGAAUAUUUACCCUUGGUUACCUCUAACAACAUUAUUUGGAUUGCAGGUACAUCAGCCUUUAAAAAAUAUGUCACAAACAUUGUCUCGCGAUUACCCCUCAAUGAUACACUCACCCCAGAAUGGCCAAGGAAAGCGGUUCAGUACAGGAUUUACACAGUUUUGACGCCUGGGUAACAAACUUUGAAGCUUAUUAGGGAAGAAAUUUCAGACGCUUAAAUUUCAGGCUUCAACGUAAAGCCAUAGAGAAUUCACUUUGGUUUGACAUUUCUUGGAUGAAAAAUAACCAGCAAGAUUUCUCCAGAUAUUGUGGUUCUUAAAGAGCUUCCUGGGCUUUGCAAGUUACAAAUGCUAAAGAGCGAGCUUCCAUCCGCAGCUAGAACGUCCCUUUCGCCGCACAGUAAACGGCUUUUAAUAAAGCAGACGACGCGUUUAUGACUUAAAGAUCCUAUAAAAGCUAGGACCUGUGAGAGCUGCGAAGCAGAAACGUUCAUACAUAGUCGAUUAAACACUCAUUUUUUUAGGUGGGACGAGGACAAAUAUUUUUUCGUGUGUCACUCAAAUUUAAUCAGAUCAAAGGUUGAAUCAUGCUGUGUCGUGACAACAGGGUAUUUAUGAGAUGUGUUACAAGUACACUGGCCAAACACUACCACCAUCUUCUGGGAGACACACACACACACACACACACACACACACACACACACACACUCACACACUCACUCCUUUCUAGGGAAUUUACACUUUCAGCCUCAAAUUUACCAAACUGUAAAGAGGAUAUUAAGUCUUCUCUUUGAGUAAGAAUAGCGAUGUUAGUAUGUCUGAGUCUGUGCCCUGUAGGAAACUUUUGGCAUGGAAUUCAAACACUGAAAAGAAGAAAAAAAUUAGGCCGGCCAGGUUAGGUGUCGGCGAUAAGAAAAGGGACUUGCGUUGAGCAUCCCCCAGCCUUCUUUUCGCCCCCUUUCGCCGCCCCCAGACACUCCCCCCUCUCCAUUAUGAAAACAACACAGAUGAGCACACUCACACCUCCGACGAUGGACUAUUGUAUCAAGUGUUCUCGUCGGGAUGUGACAAUUUAGGCUGGGGACAGAAAUAAUCUAUCAACAUGCCCAUUAGACACAGGAUGGAAUAAUGCUUCUAUUGGUUGGGUCCCUUCGAGAGGCAACCAUUCUCUGCUUUCAAUAGGACAGAAGAGCUCCUUGGCACUGGAACACUCCUGGUCUGGUGAGAGAGGAAUGGUUAGGAGACUGCUCUGAGGAUGUGCACAUAUCAUCCAAAACUUCCUGCAUUCAGAUUGAGGAAAGAGUUCGGGCCAGGGCUUUGCAUUCUUGUUACCUAAGGAUGGUUCUGAAUAUGUGAGCAAAUCCUAGAAGGGUCCCAUGGGAACAGAAAGUUUUGAGGGAGUUUACUGUUUGUGCAAGAUGACUGGUUGGGUAAAGAAGUCAAAAGUGUUUUAUCUGCAGAACAAAUAAAGCCCGGGCAAAGGCACAUAGAAAGUUCCUGUGACUUUGAAGCCACUGCUUUGCUGUGCCCAAAUGCUCUCCCGGGGACUGGCCUUAGGGAGGAGAUUCAAAGUGGAACCUUCAGAGGAGUAGGGAUGGAGGAGUGACAUUCUUUGGAUCAUAUAGCCAGCUUGUGGCAGAGCCUGUAUCUAGCCCAUGUUUUCUGAGUCCAGGUAUGCUGUUUUCUUCCCCCACAACACCUGUGGCUCCAUACCUUUGUCAGGUGUAGCUGUUCUUUGUGCCGUAGGUGUUAUUUCCGCUCAUGCCUACUGUCCGCAUAGCUGGGGGCAGUCACCAUGAUGCAUAUGUGAAGCCAGCGGAAGCUAACAGUCUGUGUUCCUAAUGAAGUCGGGUAAGUGGCUAAGACUAUAAGGAAGUGUCCUUUCAUGCAAAUAUUAGAAUACAGCAUUUUUGUUCAUUAUCAAAUUGGAAAAGCAUACCUGGGAACUGGUGAGAGGUGAGGGUCCUUUCAGAGAAGGACCGUCUGUGUGUCUGGUGAUGUGUGAUGUGAACUGUGUUCUCCUGACUUUUCUUCCCAUCUCAUUUUACUGGGAAUAAUGAAGAAGGAAUGAGAAACAAGCUGAGACCCUUGAACUUGCUUUGCGACCCGGAGUCCCAGUGAUGGCCAGACUAGCUCUGAUGUGGGCUGUUUUAGAUGUCUGUGAGGUUCGCAGCUAAAGCCAAACAAGGCUCCUGAGGAAGUGGUGUAGACACGUGGAAAGCUGUGAAGUGAGUGCAUUUGGGGGGAAAUGGAAAUUUGGCCUGUCUGGAUCCAGCGUAGCGUUGGACCCAAGGACUGACCCUGGUCUUCCAACCACAUAGAGCAGCGACGGCCGAGGUGUUGGCACGCAAAUACUUGCAAAGUGAAAAUGGAUACACUUCCACAGCUCCUCGUCCCUGGCCUCCAGUGGACAGCCUGGCAACCGUGCGUGCAUAUUGGUUUGGCACCGAGACAAACGUUCCCUGGAGCAUAGACUGAAACCACCAAACCGAUAUCACUUGGGACGCCAGCCACAUCCUGACCUUGCUUUCUGUAGGCCUCUACUUUGGAUCAACUCAUUAUCCCGAAUAAACGAUGUGUCAUUCCCAUUAUUUAUGUUUCACUGCAGCCAAAGUAUCUGGACCUCGUUUUAGUAAGCGCCAUUCAUUUCGACCCAUUCAGUAUUAAUCUCCCUGCUAACAUCUUUCCUGUUCUAUGUGCUGUCCCCUAUUUGCUUUUAUGUUUUCUGCAGAGUGUUUAUAAAAGGAUAAUCUUUUACAAAGCAGACAGAAUUUUUGUGUAUAAACUGCUCUGUUUGAAUGCCUCAUUGAUAUACCAUCUAAAAACUGAAGUGUUCAGCAAGAUUAGCAAAGCCCUGAGCUAUUGAGCUGAGGGAAAACAUGAGAACCGGUCUCUUCUCUACAGGAGGCAAAGGUGACGGAAGAUGCCUUUGCUUUCGCAGUCGUAGCAAAAGCAGAGCCAUUGCCCACCCAGGCCCUGAUAGGCCCAGCUACCUGGAAAUGAAAGAGGCAUGAAGCAAGCCGCUUAGAAGAUGCUGGGAAAGGGGUGAAGAGUGUGGUGGUCUGAUGACUUCUUUUCUAGAAUUUUCUCAGAAAAUGCCAUGACUCUGCAGACGCUGAAUUUGCAUGUAGUCCUCACUUCAGCUAAACCCUUUUCAACUUUCGUAAAAGUAUCCAUGUGCUGUUGCUGCUGUUCACGGAGGUUAAAUGUCUUUUGUCGUUCUGGUGUAUCCUGUAGAAAAGGCAGUGCUACAGGAACCAAGGAAGGAUCCAAAGGAGGAGGAUGGUCUCUUCCUGCCUCCUCUGUCUUCUCUCCCCAGGGAUUGGGAUCUCCUUCAAACAGCUCUUUUUUGCUAAGAAGAGGUAGAGAUCACUUCAUUUUGCAAUGGAUGAAGACGGUUUCUUUAUGGAAUUUUGCAUGGCAUGGGGUCCCAGAUAUGCCACCGAUUAAAAGACUUAACAGAUGGACUCUGAGAAUAGGAAUGUGUUCAAGAAAAAAAAAAUCUUUAGAAAAAAAUCCGUGGAAGGGGAUUGUAAAUCUGACCACGGUGGGGGCUGAGCACGGGAAGCUGCACAGCGCAAACGCUUUGUCCCUUAGACAGGGUGGGUUCAGCUGGUCGCGUUGCAUUGGAAGCAUCUGAAACACAA